GGAAUGUGACUCAGUGGUAGUGUGCUUUCCUAGCAUGUGUGAGGUACUGGGUUCAAAUCUCAGCACCA
rnacentral:tRNA from 1 species